GUUGCAGAGAGGAAGAGUCGCUAACCCGGAGUGUUUCUUAAAACUUGGCUGACCUGUGACCUGCGGAUUUGGAGGCUGAAUUCUCCGAGCACCUGAAGCUACUGCAGGAUAUAAUCUAAGAAAAUAAGGGGAAGAAAACAAGAAAGAGGAAGACAUUGGAUCCAAGAAAUGGGGGAUCUAUCACCUUACAGAUGAAAAGAGAAUCUACAUGAUCUUUGUGAAGAUAUGACCUUGGGACUUGCUUUAGCCAGUGGAAUGGAAGCAGAAGUAACCUGUAAUUUCCAGGUAUAUGUUUUAAAAGUCUGUGUGUAAUUUGCUACUCUUCUCCCUUUGCCGUAUGCCUGGUUUGUCUCUUUUCCCUCCCCUUCUCCCACUUCUUCCUUUUAAUAGACUGGAAAUGUUCCAGAUAGUACCAGCUCUUUAAACCUGAGUCCUAGAGUAAAGAUGGCAGAGUGGAGCCUCAAGCCAACGUGUGACAGAUAUGUAAAUAGACCAAGAAAUAAAUCUUUGGGUGUUUUGAAGCACCUGAGACUCUGAGGUUGUCUGUUAUUGAAACGUAACCUAGCCUACCCUGACUGCUGCAGGUUUUCUCAAGAUUAAUGAGAUAAUAUGCAUAAGAUGUUGGACUAAUGGUAGAGCAUUUUUAUGGGUCCUUUUGCAAUAAUAUUAGGUUGGUGCAAAAGUAAUUGUGGUUUUUGCCAUUAGUUUCAGAGUUAUUAUUAAUACAAUUUAUUCAUUCAAUGCCUUCCAUAUGCCAGGCAUUUGUGUACAUUAUCACUAAUCUUCAGAAUAAAUUUGAAAUAUUAUAAAAACCUCCAUUUUAUAAGGGAGAAAAAACAAAGCUUGGAAUGGUUAGCAUUCUGCCAAAUGUCAUCCAGCUAGGAAGCUGCAGAGCUGGCUUUCAAACCUCAUGCGUUUCUCCCCUCUUUCUCUUUUUUCCUUGUCUUUGGAAGUUUAUGUCAUUGUUUUAUUUUAUUGCUAUUUACAUCAUUGUGUGAAUUCCUUUGCAACAUUUGUUUAUGAAAUUCACACUUAUUCUUGCAACAAAACCUCUAUUUUCUUAAAUUUAUUGCAAGAUGAACAGAAAUAAAUUGAGUCAAAGGUACAGUAGCUUACAAUUCAAUCCCUUGCUCCAGAAAGUUCAUGAACUCAAGCACCUUUUUCAUUUUUCUUGGCUUGAAUAUGCCUGAAAGCAGUUAAGAUAUAUGUGCUUAUGAAUGGAAAAAAAAAAGUGUUUCACAAUUGGAGUGGAGUGAGUCAGGUUAGAAUGAGCUAGAUUCCAUAAAUUCUCAAGCCCUAAUAUUUACAGAUUCUUUCUUAAUGGAUUUAUUGAGAUAUAAUUCAUAUACCAUAUGUCACCCAUUUAAAGUAUGUAAUUUAAUGACUUUUAAUAUAUUCACAGAGUUGUGUAUCCAUCAUCACAAUUGAUUAUAGAAUAUUUUCAUCAUCUCAAAAAAAAGCCUAUAUCCCUCAACCAACACUCCCAAACCUUCUCAUCACCUGACCUGUCCCCCAACCCUAGGUAGCUAAUUACUUUCUUUCCCUUUCUUUCUUCCUUUUCUUUCUUUCUUUUUUCUUUCUCUUUCUUUCUUUCCUUUCUU
rnacentral:lncRNA from 1 species